rnacentral:rRNA from 1 species
GAUGAACGCUGGCGGCGUGCCUAAUACAUGCAAGUCGAGCGAACAGACGAGGAGCUUGCUCCUCUGACGUUAGCGGCGGACGGGUGAGUAACACGUGGAUAACCUACCUAUAAGACUGGGAUAACUUCGGGAAACCGGAGCUAAUACCGGAUAAUAUAUUGAACCGCAUGGUUCAAUAGUGAAAGACGGUUUUGCUGUCACUUAUAGAUGGAUCCGCGCCGCAUUAGCUAGUUGGUAAGGUAACGGCUUACCAAGGCAACGAUGCGUAGCCGACCUGAGAGAGUGAUCGGCCACACGGGAACUGAGACACGGUCAAGACUCCUACGGUAGGCAGCAGUCGGGAAUCGUACGCAAAGGGGGAAAGCAUGACGGAGCAAGGGGGAGUGAGUGAUGAAGGUCUUCGGAUCGUAAAGACCUGUUAUUAGGUAAGAACAAAUGUGUAAGUAACUAUGCACGUCUUGACGGUACCUAAUAAAAAAGCAACGGCUAACUACGUG